rnacentral:rRNA from 1 species
GAACGCUAGCGGCAGGCUUAACACAUGCAAGUCGAGGGGCAGCGGGUAUGUUAGCAAUAACAUAUGCCGGCGACCGGCGCAAGGGUGCGUAACGCGUGAGUAACAUGCCCGUAUCAGGAGGAUAACCCGGAGAAAUCCGGACUAAUACUGCAUAAUAUUUUCAGACGGCAUCGUUUGGGAAUUAAAGUUUCGACGGAAACGGAUAGGCUCGCGUGACAUUAGCUAGAUGGCGGGGUAACGGCCCACCAUGGCGACGAUGUCUAGGGGUUCUGAGAGGAAGGUCCCCCACACUGGAACUGAGACACGGUCCAGACUCCUACGGGAGGCAGCAGUGAGGAAUAUUGGUCAAUGGUCUGACGACUGAACCAGCCAUGCCGCGUGAAGGUGACGGCCCUAUGGGUCUUAAACUUCUUUUGCAAGGGAGCAAUAAGGCGUACGUGUACGUCGAUGAGAGUACCUUGCGAAUAAGCAUCGGCUAACUCCGUG